GGAUUAGAUACCCUGGUAGUCCACGCCGUAAACGAUGGAUGCUAGGUGUCGGGGAGCAAUCUUCGGUGCCGUAGUUAACGCGUUAAGCAUCCCGCCUGGGGAGUACGGUCGCAAGGCUGAAACUCAAAGAAAUUGACGGGGGCCCGCACAAGCGGUGGAGUAUGUGGUUUAAUUCGAUGCAACGCGAAGAACCUUACCUGGGUUUGACAUCCUUCGAAUUCUCUAGAGAUAGGGAAGUGCCCUUCGGGGAGCGGAGUGACAGGUGCUGCAUGGCUGUCGUCAGCUCGUGCCG
rnacentral:rRNA from 1 species